AAUCAACGCUGGCGGCGUGCCUCAGACAUGCAAGUCGAACGCGAAAGUCCCCCUCGGGGGACGAAGUAGAGUGGCGCACGGGUGAGUAACACGUAGGUAAUCUACCUUCGGGUGGGGAAGUAACAAUCGGAAACGGUUAGCUAAUACCGCAUAAUGCAGCGGCACCUAAUGGUGACAGUUGUUAAAGCGGGGGAGUCGCAAGAUCUCGCGCCUGAAGAGGAGCCUGCGGCGGAUUAGCUAGUUGGUAGGGUAAUGGCCUACCAAGGCGACGAUCCGUAGCCGGCCUGAGAGGGCGGUCGGCCACACUGACACUGACAUACGGGUCAGACUCCUACGGGAGGCAGCAGGUCGGGAAUUUUGGGCAAUGGGCGAAAGCCUGACCCAGCAACGCCGCGUGAAGGAUGAAAUCCCUCGGGAUGUAAACUUCGCAAGAACGGGAAGAAUAAGUUUGUGCUAAUACCACAAGCGAUGACGGUACUGUUUGUAAGCUCCGGCUAACUCCGUGCCAGCGAGCCGCC
rnacentral:rRNA from 1 species